rnacentral:rRNA from 1 species
GGGGGAUAACCCGGCGAAAGUCGGACUAAUACCGCAUGAAGCAGGGGCCCCGCAUGGGGAUAUUUGCUAAAGAUUCAUCGCUGAUAGAUAGGCAUGCGUUCCAUUAGGCAGUUGGCGGGGUAACGGCCCACCAAACCGACGAUGGAUAGGGGUUCUGAGAGGAAGGUCCCCCACAUUGGUACUGAGACACGGACCAAACUCCUACGGGAGGCAGCAGUGAGGAAUAUUGGUCAAUGGGCGUAAGCCUGAACCAGCCAAGUCGCGUGAGGGAUGAAGGUUCUAUGGAUCGUAAACCUCUUUUAUAAGGGAAUAAAGUGUGGGACGUGUCCUAUUUUGUAUGUACCUUAUGAAUAAGGAUCGGCUAACUCCGUGCCAGCAGCCGCGGUAAUACGGAGGAUCCGAGCGUUAUCCGGAUUUAUUGGGUUUAAAGGGUGCGUAGGCGGCCUUUUAAGUCAGCGGUGAAAGUCUGUGGCUCAACCAUAGAAUUGCCGUUGAAACUGGGGGGCUUGAGUAUGUUUGAGGCAGGCGGAAUGCGUGGUGUAGCGGUGAAAUGCAUAGAUAUCACGCAGAACCCCGAUUGCGAAGGCAGCCUGCCAAGCCAUUACUGACGCUGAUGCACGAAAGCGUGGGGAUCAAACAGGAUUAGAUACCCUGGUAGUCCACGCAGUAAACGAUGAUCACUAGCUGUUUGCGAUACACUGUAAGCGGCACAGCGAAAGCGUUAAGUGAUCCACCUGGGGAGUA